CCUACGGGCGGCUGCAGUGGGGAAUAUUGGACAAUGGGCGAAAGCCUGAUCCAGCCAUGCCGCGUGUGUGAAGAAGGCCUUCGGGUUGUAAAGCACUUUCAGUGGGGAAGAAAGCCUUGGACCUGAUACCCUCGAGGAAGGACAUCACCCACAGAAGAAGCACCGGCUAACUCCGUGCCAGCAGCCGCGGUAAUACGGAGGGUGCGAGCGUUAAUCGGAAUUACUGGGCGUAAAGCGCGCGUAGGCGGUCUGAUAAGCCGGUUGUGAAAGCCCCGGGCUCAACCUGGGAACGGCAUCCGGAACUGUCAGGCUAGAGUGCAGGAGAGGAAGGUAGAAUUCCCGGUGUAGCGGUGAAAUGCGUAGAGAUCGGGAGGAAUACCAGUGGCGAAGGCGGCCUUCUGGACUGACACUGACGCUGAGGUGCGAAAGCGUGGGUAGCAAACAGGUUUAGAUACCCCGGUAGUC
rnacentral:rRNA from 1 species